CGUAGUCUUUUGAAGAGAAGUCACUUACCAAGAGACUUUUGGGCAGAAGCAGUUCGUUGGAGCGUUCAUAUAUUGAAUAGAUGUCCUACCAACUCUAUUCAAAGUAUGACACCUCAUGAAGCUUGGAGUAGGCGUAAACCAAAUGUUGAGUACUUUCGGAUUUUUGGAUGUAUAGCAUAUGCACAUAUUCCAGAUGCAGCAAGGAAGAAGUUGGACGAUAAAGGUCAGAAGUGCAUUUUCCUUGGUAUUAGUGACAAAUCAAAAGCUUAUCGCUUGUUCAAUCCUAUUACUAAGAAAAUAGUUGUUAGCCGAGAUGUUAUUUUUAAUGAAGAAGCAAUCUGGAAUUGGGGUGAUAACAAUUCGUUUCAACAUAUUCCAGUUUCUGUUGAAGAAGAAGAGGAACCAGAACGACCUUUGGAGAUCAGUUCACAACCAAGUCCAAUUGUACAGGAUGCUGAAAGUGUUGAACACGAAUCAGAUGGUUCUCAGCUCAACAAUGAACGUCCACAACGUAUUAGAGGGGCACCAAGAUGGUUGGAAAAUUAUGAGGUAUAUGGGACUAGGAAAUCUGGAAAUACAGUAAGUCAUUUUUCUUAUUUUUAGAUUGUGAUCCUAUAUCUUUUGCUGAUGCUGUUAAGACCUGAAGUGGCAGCAAGCCAUGGAUGAGGAGAUUAGAUCAAUUGAAAAAAUGAUACUUGGGAGUUGACAAAUCUUCCAGAAAAUCAGAAAACCAUUGGUGUCAAAAUGGGUUUACAAAACAAAGUUGAAGGAAAACGGAGAGGUCGACAAGUUCAAAGCUCGCUUAGUAGCAAAAGGCUACAAGCAAGAAUAUGGUGUUGACUAUGUAGAAGUGUUUGCUCCCGUUGCUCGUUUAGAUACCAUCAGAUUGGUGAUUGCUUUGGCUGCUCAAAAUGCUUGGAAAAUCUAUCAGCUGGACGUGAAAUCUGCCUUCCUACAUGGUGAACUUCAAGAAAAGGUAUCUAUCGAACAACCUCCUGGCUAUGUGAAAUUUGGUGGUGAGAAUAAAGUGCUUAGACUGAAAAAGGCUCUUUAUGGACUAAAACAAGCUCCAAGAGCUUGGUAUAGUCGCAUAGAUACUUAUUUUUCAAAGGAGGGAUUUCGAAAGUGUCCAUAUGAACAUACUCUCUAUAUAAAAAGGAAAGGUGCAGGGGUCUUAAUGGUGUGUUUAUAUGUGGAUGACUUAAUUUAUACCGGAAGUGAUGAGUCUAUGAUUGAGAACUUCAAGAAGUCCAUGAUGGUUGAGUUUGACAUGUCCGAUUUGGGUAUUAUGCAUUAUUUUCUUGGUUUAGAAGUGAAUCAAUCUGCUGAUGGUAUUUUGUUCUCAAAAGAAUAUGUGCAAGAUAUUCUGGACAGAUUCCAGAUGAAAAAUAGCAACACUGUGAGCACACCAAUGGAGAAGGGUCUGAAGCUCGUCAAAGAACCUGAAGGGAGAAAAGUGGACAGCACUUUAUACAAGCAAAUCAUUGGAAGCUUGAUGUACUUGACGGCAACAGGCCUGAUGUUAUGCACGCUGUAAGUCUCAUUAGUAGAUUCAUGGAGAGUCCAAAAGAAAUGCAUCUACAAGCUGCCAAGAGGAUCCUGCGGUACUUGAAUGGCACCAGUGACCUUGGAAUUCUUUAUCAGAUGAGAGCAGCUGGAGAUUUAGUUGGUUACACUGAUAGUGACUAUGCUGGAAAUCUUGAAGACAGGAAAAGCACAUCAGGAUUAUGUUUUUAUGUUGGGCUCUGGAGUUAUUUCUUGGUCUUCAAAGAAGCAACCUAUUGUUACUUUGUCGACUACCGAGGCAGAGUAUGUAGCUGCAACAUCGUGUGCUUGUCAAGCAGUAUGGCUGAGGAAUAUUCUUGAAGAACUUCAUUUUAAGCAGGAAAGACCAACUCCAAUCUAUUGUGACAAUACUUCGGCGAUUAAUCUUUCAAAGAAUCCAGUUGAACAUGGACGAAGUAAGCAUAUAGAUGUGAAGUAUCACUUCUUGCGUGAUCUGACUAAGGAUGCAAACAUUAGUCUUAUUUAUUGUAGGAGUGAAGAGCAGGUUGCAGACAUGUUCACAAAGCCCCUGAAACCAG
rnacentral:lncRNA from 1 species